rnacentral:lncRNA from 1 species
AUCAUGUCCAACAACUUCUUCCUCCUCAUCAUCAUCAUCUUCACUGUCAUCAUCCUUAUUUUUCAGCUUUUCAAUUUCAGCUUGUAACUGCUGAAUCACACUUUUCAGUUCUUCAUUCUCUUCUUUUAGCCGUCGAUUCUCAGUAGCUAAAUCAUCAGUUUCUUCUUCGACUUCAUUAGCUAAAUCAUCAGUUUCUUCUUCGACGUCAUUCGUACUUGGUUUUAUCAAUUUUUUCUCUUCAUCACUUAAUUCAGAAAGCUCUUUGAUCACUUGUAAGUAAAUCAAAACAUGUAAUACAGUUAUCAAAUACUAGUGUUUGUUGAUUAAUACAGCUAUCAAGUAAUAUUGGAGUUGAUUAAUA